rnacentral:tRNA from 1 species
UCCGAUAUGGUGUAAUGGCUAGCAUAGUUCACUCUCACCGAGCAGAUCGGAGUUCCAUUCCCCCUAUCGGAA